GGGGCUGAUUCUGGAUUCGACGGGAUUUGCGAAACCCAAGGUGCAUGCCGAGGGGCGGUUGGCCUCGUAAAAAGCCGCAAAAAAAUAGUUGCAAACGACGAAACCUACGCUUUAGCAGCUUAAUAACCUGCUUAGAGCCCUCUCUCCCUAGCCUCCGCUCUUAGGACGGGGAUCAAGAGAGGUCAAACCCAAAAGAGAUCGCGCGGAUGCCCUGCCUGGGGUUGAAGCGUUAAAACGAAUCAGGCUAGUCUGGUAGUGGCGUGUCCGUCCGCAGGUGCCAGGCGAAUGUAAAGACUGACUAAGCAUGUAGUACCGAGGAUGUAGGAAUUUCGGACGCGGGUUCAACUCCCGCCAGCUCCACCA
rnacentral:tmRNA from 1 species